GGCGCGGUGGGCGUGCGCCUGCGCGGGCGACCCGGAGGCGUUGCCACGCUCUGCCGCUUUGGGGGUCUGUGCGGGCUCCUGUCCUCUCCUCUCCGCGGGGAGCCGGGCCGAGGGGAGGGCCAGAUAAUCAAGCAAAAGAAGGAUGAACUUCAUCUCUGGAUUGUCGUCUGCUACUAGAAACUGUAUUUUCUUCCGAUUUAAUUUACUGACCAGCUGGAGAAGAUGUAACACACUGGCUCUAGCCUCACCAGACUGUCAUCAAGUACAGAUUAACCGUAUGGUAAAUCAGUGUGAUAGGUUGACUUUUCUGCCUGGAAACUUUCAUUACUGUAGGACUUUUACUAAAAAAAGAACAGGAUGCCUCUCAACUACCAAAAGUAAGGAAAUUUGGAUGAUUACCCAAAAAUGUACCACACAGAAUGUCUCUUUUUCAAGACAGCAGCUAACAGAAGAAGUUGUACUAGUUCCUGCUCUUUCAGUCCUACGCCCUCUAAACUGUUUUCCCAGGAGAGACAUCAGGUGUUUCCACACUUCUCCACAGCUGUGGGCUGCUCCCGUCCCUCUCUUGUUGGUCGUUCUUAAACCAGUCCAGAAACUACUCGCCAUCAUUGUAGGCAGGAGCAUAAGGAAAUGGUGGCAAGCACUUCCUCCUAACAAGAAGGAACUAUUUAAAGAAAGCGUAAAGAAGAACAAAUGGAAGUUCCUCCUUGGUUUGAGCAGUUUUGGAUUGCUCUUCACAGUGUUUUAUUUUACUCAUCUGGAAGUGAGUCCAGUCACAGGAAGGAGCAGGUUACUAUUAUUGGGGAAAGAACAUUUCAGACUUUUAUCAGAACUGGAAUAUGAAGCAUGGAUGGAAGAAUUUAAAAAUAAUAUGUUACCUGAGAAAGAUCCCCGAUACCUGACUGUUAAAGAAGUGCUUUAUCAUUUAAUUGAAUGCAAUAAAGAUAUUCCAGGGCUCUCUGAGAUCCACUGGAUUAUUCAUGUGGUCGAUUCCCCAGAUGUAAAUGCCUUUGUGCUUCCAAAUGGGCAAGUGUUUAUCUUCACUGGGCUUCUAAAUAGUGUGACUGACAUGCAUCAGCUCUCCUUCCUUCUGGGCCAUGAAAUAGCACAUGCGGUACUUGGGCAUGCUGCUGAAAAGGCUAGCUUGGUUCAUUUAUUGGAUUUCCUAGGUCUGAUUUUUCUCACAAUGAUUUGGGCCAUUUGUCCUCGAGAUAGUUUGGCACUUUUGAGCCAGUGGAUACAGUCUAAAUUGCAGGAGUAUAUGUUUGAUAGACCAUACAGCAGAACAUUGGAGGCUGAAGCUGACAAAAUUGGACUACAGCUUGCUGCAAAGGCUUGUGUGGAUGUCAGAGCCAGUUCAGUGUUCUGGCAGCAAAUGGAAUUUGCAGAUCGGCUCCAUGGUCAACCCAGGUUACCACAGUGGUUGUCCACACACCCUUCUCAUGGUCAUCGAGCUGAGCGCUUGGAUAGACUCAUACCUCAGAGCCCGAGGCUUUUCUCCUGCUCCAUAAUCCCUGAAACUUUCCAUGAUCUCAUCUCUCAACACCAUCCCUCAACCCUCACCUCCUGCACUGAGCCAACCAGCUGACUGAGAAGUGUUCAUGACAAAGGCCCAGCAGCUCUCAGGAGCACGAAUUGGCACAUCGUCAGCGCUCCAUGAAUUCAAGUCCGAAGACAGAAAGAAUGAGUGAUGUGUGAAUGAAGACAGAGAAGCAGCAGCAGGAGUUAUUGGAAUGCUUGAGAGAGUUUCCCAGUGAACUUUAUAAAAUAGUGAAGGGACUUACCUCCAUCUGAAAUCAGAGACUCCUUUGGUUCCACGGCUACUCAAAGUCAUUCGGGGCGGCUUUGAUGGGAGCUAAUCCCAGUAGCUAACUCGUCCUCCCGAGGGAAUGGAUCUAGGAAGCCACUGAGGAUUCGAGGUCUAAAGGUCCAGGUUCAACCCCUGCCUUCCUCCCCAGCCAUGUGAUGGAGCACGCCCCUCUCCUCUCAGAACCUCUGCGCAUCCUCACCAGCUGGUCGUGGAAAAGCAAAGCUCUACCACCACAGCUGCCAGGUGGUACUGCACGCCCGCCAUUGGCUUGGGAGGUCCUUGAGAGCAGGAGCUCUGUCGCAGUAGUGGUUUUUUAUCCUCGAUCCAAAGCACUGCUCAAUACAUGUUUCUUAAAGCAAUAAACAGAAUGGUCCUAGCAUUACCUUUCAACGUUGUCCAGGCAAGUGCUCAGUGUGCCUCCCUGGUCCUACCGGACAGGCUCGAUUUCUUCUCAGGUUUGCCCCGAGGAGCUCAGUCCCCACAGCCAGGCCAACCUGGAUUUGAAGCUGGCUCAUUCUGGGUAAGUGACUUUCCUCUGUGAGGCUCAAUUUUCUUCCUCUGGAAAAUGGAGAUAGUAGCAGUUGACGUUUCGUGGGGUCAUGUGAGGACCACAUCUAUGCUCAGCCAUUUCCUUGUGUGUGGCGAGCACACAUCACGAGUGAGCGUCAGCAUCGCUGGGCAGCCCACGCCCGCUGCAGCAGCCGUGGAGUGGUCCAGAGCUCUUCUCGCCCUCUGCUUUCUUCUCUACUGAGGGGUUUCUCUGGCACCACAGGGUCUUGCUCAGCCACAGGCAGGGGUGCCCCAGAGGUGCAGGGGGUCAGCUCCCCCAGGGUGUCCUACAACCAGUGGGGAUCAGAGUCAGUGGGUAAAUGCCUCACCCUCUGGGGUGAUUCUGGAGUGUGUUCCACAGUUUGUUGGAGGGCCCCUGUGGACUGAGCCCGUUGCCCACAGCUCUCACCCACUCAUUCACGCAUGCUGUAUUUGCAGACUGUAUUUCUCUCUUUGUCCCCUUCCUCACGUGUGCUUCCUGAGAUCACCACCAAAUAAAUGGCCCAGUGCCCACCCAUCCUAUCCUAAUGCCUGUCUUAGGGCCUACUUUUAGGGGAACCCAAACUGUGAAGUUAGCUAUCAAACUUAUUAUUAUUAUUAUUGAUCCCCAUAGUAACACCACUUAAGAGAUGGAGAAACUGAAGUUAAGAGAGGUGAAGUAAUUGGCCCGUGGUUACACAGCACAGGGUUCUGAUAAUCCUUACCUCUCAGGGUUGUUUUGAGGAAGUAAUAAGUCACCUAUCAGAUAUAAAUGAGCUUUGCAAACUGCAGUAUUGGGCACGAGUUGCUUCUUGUCCCUUCCUAGUGCCACCUCUUCUAAUGACGGUGACAUAGAAAAUGACCCUCCGAUACCCAGAGCAGCCAUAAACAUUCCCAAGUGUGACAGCUCACUGUUCCUUUCUCAGGCCACAUAAUUGGUCACAGCGCAGCCGCACAGUCUGAGCCCGUUAUCCGUGAUUCAUAGGCUCUGGAGCCGGUGUGACCCUAGUGCACCCACGCAGUGGGAGUUUGGACUCGGAAUUCACAGUCCAGGCAUAAAGUGGUGUUUACACACACGUGACAGCUCGUCUGCGGGCAGGGGAAGUUUAUUUAACAGCUGGAACAGAUUGCAGAGUAACACUCAACAGCCUCGUCGGGAACAUAGAAACCUCAGGAGUCGAGAUGUGGAGGCAGCGCGGGCUGGGAAGACACACAGUCUCGGGGAAGCCUGCUCCACGCGCUCAGACUCUCUGCUGGGAUGUUCAGCUUGGAUUGUUCCGGAGAUGCAGUCCCGAGGGCUCAGCAAGACCAGUCACUGACAGUAAGAUCAGUAACCAGAGCAAUAAUAAGAGCUGCGAUCAUCACUGAAUGAAUAAGGGAUCCCCUCGUACAGGCCACGCCCUGAAGCACCGGACAGGCAGGAGCUGGCUUGAUGCUUGCGAUGGUUCUUUGAGGCAGAUAUGGUUGUCCCACUUUAUACAUGAAUGAAGAAACUGGAGCCCAGGGAGCUUGAGUGACUUGAUCCAAACAGACCCCAUGGUUUGGACUACCUCGCCCUUCCAAGCUCCUGGGCCCCAGACUUAAUGCCAUCUGGGGGUGUGAGGUGUUGGUAGGUUGGCUGUUUCGCUGGUUGGUUGGUUUUAAUGUGUGAAAAUACAGUGUGAUGUGGAGAAAAGUCUUUUGAAUCAGGUAGACCUUAGACAAAUCACUUCAUUUUCCCAGGAUUAAUUUCAUUCCUACCCAACAUUCGGUAAUGUCUGCUUCGCAGAGCACCCAUGAGAAGGUAGUGGGUUUAGGCUUGUAGGUGUCUGCCACAUGGUAACUGAGCACUGCUUGGCGCUGCUCUUUCCCUUUCACCCUUGUCCACUUACUUCCAAAGAUGAUUUACAAAGGAAAGUUGGGAGCCACCAUCUGAGAGGAGAGUGACUCCUUGCCAGGCCUCAAAUUGUUUAAGAGAUUCUUUUGUAAGGCAGAGAAUGUCAAGAGACAAAUAUAAGAAGGGUUUUUCAUCAGUCUUUUGUCUUCUACUCAAGGAAACAUUAAGUAGUAUUCAGGCAUUCUCUGCCCUGCUGUCUGCCUUCUGCUGGGGUGGUCUCUCUCUCUGAACUAUUUCAAAUGUCCCAGCAGAGCUGGAGAGCUCUCCUCACCCCAUUGACACGUGAAGGGCACAUAGAGCUUCCAUGGGCAAGUCCAAUGACCACAACUGGUCACAGACUCUCUCCCUUGAACCGGCUGCCUCUCUUUUUUCACCCAACACAGUGAUAAGAUGUCAUUCAGGCUAAGUUUCUAAGUGAGACUUAUGGAAAGUAAUAAUGAUAAAAAUAAAGCAAGACAUAGAAACUAAGACUAAAGUUAUGUCAGAGCCAAAUAUACCAAGGACAGGAGGGGACUGCUUCUGAGAGAAGAUGGUAUGGUUAAGACAGAUGACACAGAAAGAACCAUUUUACUCCUAGUCAAGACUGAGGCUAAUGGUCACACAAGUUGCACACUGCACCCCUCCGGAGGGCACCAUCCCCCCAGACGGGGAUGUGAAUAACAGCCGUGGAGACACGCAGCAAGGCAGCCCUGCCUGUGAUGCUGCUGUCCUGUUCCUCGGGAAGCAUGAUCUUCAAGGUACAACACAAUUAAGGGUGAACUGAAGUUCCAGGUGAGAGAAGAGAUGUCAGAGAGAACCUGAUUCUUUUAUUAAUGUCAUAAUAGUAGUAUGCAAUAGUGAUACUUAACACUUACGGAGUAAAGUGUGUCAGGGACGCCCCCAAGCCCUGAGCAUAUAUUACCCCGUUUUACCCUCAACUGCAGUACUGUUGCUACCCGGCCGACAGCCAUUCUUCCACUUCCCUUUCAGCAAGCUUCAUUUUGUUUGAAUGGCAGCCCCUGCCUGAGGGGGUAAGUCAUGACUGUCUAAGUCAAUCAUGGCAAUGCUAUCCCCCUGAGCCAGUGAUUGGUCCUUGAGUAGGCAUGUGACCAGAUCUGGCCAAUGAGAAAUAGAGGAAACUCUAAUAUUUUCCAGGGAUUGCAAAUAUUUUAGAGAGAGGCCACAGAGAAGGCUGUUUGUUUGUUUGUUUUAAACCUGUGUUUUCUAUUCCUGCUUUGCAUACAUUAUGUUAAUAUAUGAUGCUUCUUGCUGCUGUGGUCUUCUAAGGAGCUUGAGAGAAGGUCAAGAGAAUUGUGGAGAUACCAACAUAGCACCCUAACGUCACCUUGUUGCUGAGCCAACACGGGCCCUGCCUCCCCUGAAACCUUUGGUGAAGUGAGAUAAUUAAAUGUCUUUACUGUUCAUGCCACUAUUAAUUGAAUAUUCUCUUACUUGCACCCAAAAGAAUUCCUAUUGAUAAAAUAUUAUUGCUUCCACUUUACCAAUGAGGUAACUUUCCCCAUGUCACACAGUUAGUAAGUGGAAAGGCCAGGUUUCAAGCCGGGUCUGUCUGAGCCUAAGCUUUUCACCGCUCCUCCUCUGCCUGGGGCCGAGGCUCAGGUCGAGGGGAGCUACAGACCAGGGCAGGGUGCUGGCUCAAACAGAGAAGAAGUGCUCUCAACAGUGGACGGCUCUCCCGGGUAGGGAGCUCUCAGCCACUGGAAAUGUCCACGCAAAGACAAGACUACCAUUCAUAAGCAUUGUUGCAGAGGCGAGUCAGGCUCUGAGCAGGCGGAAGUGAGGAAGAUGAAUUGUGAAUGAGAGGCAAGUGUUCCAUGAAUGUGUUCUGGAAUAGAACCAAAUGGACUCAGAGACUCGGUGAAAAAGAAGUUGCAGCCUUGGCUAACCGGGUUUUCACUCUGAGAUAGCGUCUCAGGCAUCUGCACUAAGGAGUGGGUGUGAUGACCGGCGGCCACCGAGGGCGAUGGCGUGGUGACGUGUAAAGGUCAGGUCUGCGUCUACGUCAGAGGCCCAGCUCUGCUAUUUCUGGCCUGUAACCCUCAGCUUCCCCUUCGUCAAAUGUGGAGAAUGGACUUGGUGUACUUCACAGGCCACUGUGAGAAUUAAAUGAGACGAUUAUACACUUCCACAAACAUCCACUGAUGCGCCUGGCCUUCUGCUGAAUCCUGAUGUCUGUGUAAGCUAUACAGAGUUUCCCAAAUUUAAAUAUUAAGCAUUUUCCUUUUUUUUAAAAAUUUUCCAACUCCUCUCUCCUUCCUACCCCACCGACAGAACCAAAAAAGGAUCCCAUUCAUCUAUUUUGAAAUAAGUCAAGCUCUGAUCCAGGCAAAUAGAAGAAAUGGCUCCAACGGACAGUUUCCAGCAAGACAAAUUCCCCAGUGGCUGCUCUCUGCCACCACUCAAUAAUGGCGUUUGCCGUAAAUUGGAGAGCCUCUUUAUCAAGUGCUUGGAAGCGCGUGGGACCGCUUUAGCCCUAGAGUGACAUUAAUCACAAACGCUGCUUUGGAAAGAGUGAUGGGCGUGAACAGGAAGGUUCAGUGGAGACCAUUUCCACUCCCCCCGAUGCCGUGGAGAGCCGGGGUUUGCAGAACUGGGGCUCUAAGUGUUCAAACAUUUCUCAGUUUGAGAAAAAUUAUUGCGUCCAAGAAUUGGUUUCUAUUACCCUAAUAAUGGCCUAGAGGGGCAGGCGAAGGAACUAAUGUCUUUUAAAGAACCUACUAUGUGUGCCAGACACUAUGCUUACAUCAUCUCUUUUAAUCCCCAUAACAGCUCCACAAGAUAGGUCUGGUUAUCCUCAUUUGAUGGAUGAGGAAAGUGAGGCCUAAGGCAGCGGAAUGACUUGUACAAGUGACCAGGUGCAGAGGUGAGAGUGAAACGCAGGUCUGUGUGACUCCAAGACCUCACCACACAGCCUCUCGGAACCUGGACUGCAGAUCCCCAGCAGCAGAGUUCAGUGUAGACACAAGAAAUGAGUGGAGUUGGCUGGCUGAGACCACUGGCCCCAGCAAGGACGACUGCGAGAGUCCUGUAGGACCCAGCUUUAAUGACACUGUUCUGUGAUAACCUCCCCAAACACGGCUUUUCCUUUUAUAAGAUAGAGAAUGAAUGAAUGAAUGAAUGAAUGAAUGAAUGAAAGUGCUCCAGGCAGAGUAAGAAUCUGCCUCCUCUUUGCUCGUGCACAGGGUGGCAGCCGUGGAGAGCCCCACUCAGAUUCCUAUUCGAGAGAACUCGCUGUGGGGAGAUGAGUGACUCCCUGGUGCUCCAGCUGCCACACCUUCAGCUCCUCUGUGAUCCUGUACCUGGACUGCUCCCAGCCAGCGACUGAGCGCAGCAGGGGCACCUUUGCUUGAGGUCUCCCUGUUGGCCUCGCUGAGACUUUCUUAGAACUGCACUAGAGUCAGAAGCAAUUCCAACUCACUCUUCCUUCCUUCCCACCCUCCUCUCGUGUGUGUCAGACCCGUAUCAUGGUCUGAAGACUCUCCGGGCCUCCUCCGCCCCCCAUCAUUCACAGGUGUUUCUCCCAUAAAUCUCUUCACUUCUACUGCCGUCUUGGCGUCGCUUCUGAGGACUCUAGCAGACUUACUGAUUCUAUUUCCCCAACCCCAGUGUCUAUCACUAGGAAAACAGAUCAAUAUUGUGAUGUUGUCACGCAAUGGAAUACUACAGAGCAGUGACAAUGAAUGAGUUAGUGACACAGGCAUCAACAUGGGCACAUCUCAAAAAUAUAAUGUUGAGCAAAAACAAAAAAAUUGCAGAGUGAUACAUACGGGACGUAACAUUUACAUAAAGUUUUAUAACACAUAAAACAAAGCAAUACAUCAUUUGUAACAUGUACAAAUGUAAUAAAAGUAUAAAAACCCACUAGGGAGGGCUGAGUUCUGAAAUCAGGAGCGAGGUACCGCUGAGGAAAGGAAGAAGGGAGAACACAGUCUGCUGUCCUCCUUUAAGCUGGAUCGUUGGGACACAGUUGUUCUUUGUACCUAAGCUUUUAAAUUCCUGAAGUAUUUCAUAAUAAAAAAUUAAUACAUAUUAAAUCAUACCCAACACAUUGCCUCUUUUGAAGAAAUAUUAAAAUGAUUUGAAAUUGGCUCUGUUACGGAAAAUCUUGGAUCUAUAUGGUCACACGCAGCAGUCUCUCGCGGCUUUUCCUGCACUGGGUAGCCACUCCUCAUUUGUAUGCUCCUUCCUGCUCUUUGCCUCCCCGACCCGCACAGCCACAAGCCCUAGGAAAGAAGACUCUUAACUCCUUGUUUCUGAACCCACAGUGGUGAUGCCAGUAGGGGAGCAACAUGUGUUCCUUAUGUUUCUAAUAAUCACAGAUAAGAAAAUUGGGGGCUGGAGGGAGAGGAGGUGAGGGCAGCAGGCGGCAGAGCAAGCAUAACUACUUUUCGGUCGAGCCAGAAGGCGGAGGCUCUGCCUGAGUCUGAGCGCCCUGCACGUGGGCGACAGGUCUGCAGGGAGGGCCUGAGGCCAGGUCAAAGGCCUUGACAUAUCUGAGUUCCUACUUCUAUGCCAGUCACUUUGUUAAAUGCUUCUUGUGUUUUCUUUCCAACCUUCCCAACUUGGGGAGUUGGGCAUUAUCACCCCUUUCUACAGAUAAGGAAAUUGAGGCUCAGCAGAGUUGAGAGGUGCCCGAGCUGCCAGCUGCUAAUUGGCGGAGCCGGGUUCACACGGAGUCCUUCUGGUUCCCUCGUCCACUGUGGGGCUCCGUGUCCAGCUUCUGUGUCUGGCUGCCCUGCGGCUCCUCUCCCAUGCGUUCAUGUGCCAUUUGUUCCGCACGCCGCAUUCCAGGCUCUGCUGUACCAGGCGUCAGAUGCAGUGGUAACAGCGCAGACUCAGACCCGGCCCCAAGGAGCUCCCCACCUGGCCAGGGCACAGAGGCGCAACCAGGUUGCCAGAGCUAUGGGGUGAGUUGCACACCCCAUAGGUGAAGGUCAGGGGGCAGUGGGGCAGCAGAAAGAAGUGGCACAAUGUCAAGCAUCAAGGCUUCCUGGCAGGAAUGACCUCCCGAUGAGACCCAGGUGGAGCCAGGUGAAGGGACGAAAGGAGGGUGUGUGGCAGGGGAGAGAGAUUGUUCCUUCUGAAAAGAACAGCCUCUCGGAGGCCUGAAGAUGGAGGGGCAAAGUGACAGGGCUUUCAGUGACAAAGACUUGGACAACCUCCCAGAACAUCCGUUUCAUGUGCCUUCCAGGCUCAGAAUCCUAUGACUAGGGACUUCUGCGGGGCACCCACAUGGCUUCUUACCCACACUGUCUGUGUUUGUCCAGCUCCUCAGAGAGAGCGGAAACCAGAAACCAGACAACGUUAGACAGACAGGGAAUCUAGAAGGGUAAAUGCCUGUGAGAGAGAAGAGGAGGACAUGGGGGAGGCGGGGAGCACGUGUAACACAGAUCCAACUCUGAGUGAAGGAGAGGCGGAGGGAAGGAAGGUCAGUGGAAAUGUCUCAGACGGUCCUAAGUUUGGCAAGGCUGUCUGGGAGUCCUUGAGCCAAGGUUGCUCGUGAGAGGAGACCCGAGUCUCCCAGGCAUGGCCCUGCUGCCCGGCUCUGCCCUGGGCUGGGAGCGGCAGGGGCGAGAGGGCACGAAGGCAGCGCUGGGUGUCAGGGAGCACUUGAGGGCACCGUUGGUCAGUUACACUCCCUGAAGUUGGACAUCUGAGAGGCACAUUCUCGUAGCCACCACAUGCGCUGGUUUAUUCACCCAAAGUCCAGGCUUCUCCUGUGGCCCCUAUUCUUGACUUCCAACAGGAGAAACACAUCUGCCCAGAGGCAGUGCAGGGCCGUGGUUAGGAGUACCGCUUGGGGCUGUCCCCAGCUCUGCCACUUGCCAGGUGGGUAUUUCAGUGAAGCUACUUAGCUCUGAGUCUCCUCAUCUGAAAAUGUGGAUGACACUCUCCUCUCAGGCUGUGGUGGGAUUAAAUGAAUUAGAACACAUGGCAAGCGCUCACUCACCUCAUCAAGGAUGACUUAGAGCCACUCGGAUUCAGGGCUAUUUCAGUGCAUUGCUUUGCCAGGGCUGCAUCAGAAUGUGAAAACACCGCCCCCUACCACUGCUGGGGGCCAGACACCCCGAGCUUUGCUUCUCUGUGACCCUUUGCCCACCUAUCUGCGAAGUUUCUCCUGACCCCGAGGCUUGGUUUGGGGUCCUCCUCUUCCAUGGAACUUUUCCUGAUGAUUGAUUGCAAUUUUGUCAUUGUCAUUGUUUCCCCCACUGAGUGUUCCUGUGGGUGGGGACAAGGUGCUGUUCACUGUUGCAUCUUCAGAGCCUGGCAUGCUGGCUGGUCCUACCCUAGCAAGGCUAGGACACAGGGCCAUCUGCCUGAGAGGGGAGUGGUCUCACUCCUCUCUGGACACCCAGCCUCGCGCUCAGGGCGCCGUGUCUGCCCGAGGAGGCAGGGUUCUCAUUUGCAGUCACACAAAGUUGCUGACAGCUCCCAGAGCUGGGCGUCCUUGUCUGCCCCUGCCCAGAGGAGGGUCCUUCUCUUAUUUGAAAAGGUGCUGUGUCAGCUAACAGCAGCUCUGCCAAUCAGCGGGGCUUAGAAUGUGUGAAAGCAUGGCCCAGUGCCCCACAGUGUGAGCUCCUCCUUCCAGAAACUUCUGGAAAGCCUUGGACGAGCUGUCUGAGUGUGUUUCUGUCUCUGUAACAUGAGGGGUUGGGUUCAUGUUCCUCUAAAGUCCUCUUCUGCCCUGACGUUCAAGGCUUCGAGGGAGCCGGGGUUUGGAUCCCGCUAGGGUGUGAGGACAGGAUCUCUUGGGGGCAGGAUCUCCUAUAUCCUCUCCUGGGCAAGGGCAAGCCUUGCCCGUCACCCUGGUCAGUUCCCUCCUCCUCCUCCAAGGAGCCUGUCUGACCACGCCCACGUCCACCACAUUUGCUUCAUACUUUGUGAUUUAUCAGGCGACUUCACAUACAUUACUUCCUUUAAUUCUCACAACAACCUAGUGAUAAGUGUUAUUAACUCAUCUUGGAGACGAGAGAAAUGAAACUCAGAGAGGUCAAAUAACUUGCCCAAGGCCACACAGCUAGUAAAAGGCAGAGUUCAGACUUGAACACUAAUCUAGAAAGUAGAAUUCCUCCCUACUUUCUUUACGUUGCUGAUCAUUUUGCCCUGCAUUACAUGUCUCACCCCCCAUUUAGAAUAUAAGAACCUCAAGGAUAGGGGACAUGAUUCCACUUCAUUCCAGUCCCUCCCAAACAUCUCAUGUACACAGUAGGUGCUGUCUAAACGCUGUCUGAGUAAAAGUAAUAUGCUUGAGAUGCAAUCACAGCAGAUGUCAAACUCCAGAACAGCUGUGUGCAAAUCCAGAGCCUGCUUGUGCACAAAGCACUCGGACAGAUGCCUGCUGUGCGUGCACACGGGGCACCUUGAGAAAUAGCUCUGGCGUGAGAAGAGCUCUCCUGCCUGGGGUGCCCGGCUGUGGAUUCUUAGCCAGAUGCUCUGCUUCCUCGUUCCUGUCCUGCGCCCUCCCCUCUUCUCUCCUCCCAACAGCCCAGCUCCACGUUUCCUCUCAUUUAGCAUCUGCUCUUCCCUGACCCCUUUGGCUGUGAGCUCGGCUUCUCCCAAGGAAACCUUCCUGCUUCUUCCUGGCUGUGGGGCCUUCACCCAGAAUGUCCCAGCUCAGCUCCACAGAUGUCCCCUGUGCCGUGCCACAGCUUUCCCUGUCUCAGAUUCUCAGGUAUCACUGAGACUCACGGCGAGAGUCUAUACAGACACAUAAGUGCCUCUGAAGCCCCAGACUGGCACUGAUGGGCCACCUGACCACACAGACCCAUGCCCACUGGGCCAAGAGCAGAGACACAGAUGUGCAUUUGUGCCUAUGGGGGCAGACACAGGGCCCACAUGCAAACCCACACAUGUUUUGUAUGCAAGGUGUGCCCAGAUGCCCAGGUGCAUGCACACACAGACUCUUAAGCGUGCACGUGACCUUAUGUGUUUGAGACUGAGUCUGGGGUACACCUUCCCUUCGGCAUGUGGGUACUGGCGUGUGCGAACACAGUGCCAUGUGCCUUUACCUGGAGACACACACGUGCGUGCAAAGGCAAGGGAGGCAGCCUCAGCCUCCUCCCCAGGGAGGGUUCCAUCACCGCUCACGACCUUUUCAAAGACAUAGGUUCACACCUUCUCCUUUGGGCCAGCUCUGCCUUUGUCAAGCUGUCUGGCCCUAGGAGCUUGUGGUCUGGGAUUCCCCAGGCGCCCACACGAUGGCCUGUCACCUCCACACUCAGCAGUCCUCUCACUGGGAGCUCUGCUCUCCACGGGGAGGGCGCUGAGGCUCGAGGUAAUUAGAUCUCUCUCUUUCCGCUUCAGCAACAUUGAUCUGUACGGGGUGCACUCUGACUCCAAAGGAACAAAGCUCUUCAUUUCCCGGCCGGAAUAGGCUGUUCUUAGACUUUUUCUUGUGUGAGUCAUCAGAGUAGAAAUCACAGCAGGCUCUCUCAUCGCAUGAGGCACUUCCGCUCCAUUUCAUUUGAGUCUCACAAUAAGCUAGGGUAGGUAGGAUUUGAAUCAGCCCAUUUUACAGAUGAGGAAACAGAGGCGAAAACAACAACAUUAACCACAAGAGCUGACUUCCCACCAAGUGUCAGGCACUGUUCUAAGUCCUUUGCAUGUUUUGAUGUUUUAUCCUUAAAAUAACACUAAGAUGUAGGUCUGUCUUCAUCCCUGUUUUACAGGUGAGGAAACUGAAGUGCAGGAAGGUCAUAUUAACAGCCUGAGGUCACAGACUCAGAGAGCAGUCCGGCUUCAUGAAGUUAAAGGGACUGCCAGAGGGCAUUUGCAUUUGGGUAAAAAUCUGAGGCAUUGACUCCCCAUAUUCUACCACCAGUGACCACAUAUGUGAUUUUCAUACAUCAUUGAAUCCACCCUUGAAAGAGUUUAUCCAAUACAGACACUGUAGUCAUUAAAAAAUAUCCUGUGUUAUGUCAUUUUCAUGAGACUUUCGAAGUCUUGAGAAUAGCUUAGGGGUACUCUGAAACUCUGGAACACGCUGCUGGCUGAGAUGCCUUGGGAUCGAGGGGAUGAAGAGAAUUUGGUUAAGGUGCUUCUUCAGACUGGCCUGGGUCCAAAUCCUGGCUCUGCCAUUUACCCCUUCUGUGUCCUUGGGCAAGUACCACCCUCGUGUGAGCCCCAGUUCGUCUGCCUGCAGCGUCAGAUGAGAACAGUUGCACCCCUAACUGGAGCAUCAAGGGCACAACAGGGCGAUCAGGGUGCCCCCGACACAUCAGAGUGAGGAAAGAAGUGUUGUUGUCAUCAGGAAUGUGACACAGCUGGCAGGAGUAUCGGAAUUGUUACAUAAAUUGUGAGCUAUAGGUCAGAGUUCUAUUUGUCCCGAGACAGGGUGGAAAUCAGCACAUUGCUCAUGAAGAUAGAAAAUAAAAACAGAAAAACCAGGAGCCCUUUGGAAUAACUCAGCCACAGAAAGAGCUCAUUCUUCCUGGGUGCUCUGUCGGGGCGCCCACAGGACCACCAUUGUUCAUCUUGAUGCUUACUUGCCUCUCUAUCCCUUGACCUACACCUUCUGAGUCUUUUUUAGCUGUUAAGUAGUUUGCUGGGGUUGGUUGUGGUUUUGUCCUUGGUUACUGUGCUUAUGUGAAAACAACUUCAGAACAAACGGGCUCUCUUAUUGACGACCCCUGUGUAGCUCUGGCUCGCCAAAGCCUCAUCUCUAUGUGUCCAUCUUUGCUCUCUCCUUUCUUGCCCAUUCUGCCUUUUUGUUGCUUAGAAUUGUUUCAAGAGAAUGAGCACAAGUCUCAACCACAUUAGGAGAAACAGCUGAGCUCUGGCGCACUCAUCUUCAGUCCUUGGUGAUCAUGCGCUCCACCGGCAACGGAAAUUUCGAGCAUCUAGCACCAAUGUAUGCACAUUUCUUUAUCUACAACUUUUAUAAUUACUUGUGUACUAAUAUCCUGUGUGUAAAACAUACACACAUGGAGAUUUUUAAGAUGGGUAUUUUUAAAAAGCAUGAGAUAAAAAUAAUCAAUAAUUUCAAAAUAAUAGAUGAGACAAAAAUGCUUGUUCACACUAAAAUAUUAUGUUUUUGAAAACCUUGUUUUAACACUUUCUGAAAUAGUUAUUCAAAGGUCUAGUUCAAAGUUCGAUUUACAUCAGAGGUUGAAUUUAAUCAUUGUCUUAGCUGUAAGGGACAACUAACAGCUAGUUUUAUCACAGAAAGUCAGCCAACUGCGAACCCUUGUCUUGUUGAAAGACAACUGCAUAUCUCAUCUUAUUUUCGACAACUCUUUUAAGUAUUCAGCACUGGGAUAACUAGUGAACUCUAUUUGAUACAGAAGACACUCAUCAUCUUCAGCCAGCUCUAAUACUUCAGAUAUAUCCACUUAACUGUGCACACAGCAGCUACAAUAGCCCCUAAAAUGUUGAAAACCAAAAAUUGAAAGAGGGUUCCACGGGUAGCCCUUCUGCCUUGUGGGACACUUACACUUUCCUCAGGAUCCCUCACAGAGAGUAGGUGACAGAUAGACUGUGUGAAAGCAUCAGCAUCCAUCUGUAUAUUACACCUUAUUAAACCUUAUUAUCUUUUCUUAUUUUAAAUUUAAAUAUAUAAAUAAAAGGCUACCAUGGUUUUCUCCAUGGCUCCCACGAAUCGUCAUGCAUGCUGUCUGGGUAGCUGAGCCUCACUUUGGAGACCACUCAGCGGGAGAACAAUGAGAUUCAGGACCAGGGAGAGCUACAUACAUGAGCGGAGGGUGCUGUAUUUUAAUAAUCUGCCUUUAACACCUAUCUGAUAGGAUGUUGUGAAAAAUAAAUAAAAUGGCAUGAUAAGUGUUCAGCAAAUAUGAAUUCCUUCAUUCUCCUUCUCUGCUAUUCAACUGGAGGGCAAGUGAAGGAAAGGAGAUGGAUUCAGGGAAGGUGUUGUGUCCAGAAAUAAAACGGUUCAAUCUUGAAGUGUUUCUGAGUAGGUGUUUCCAGUGCCUCCCUCCCCAACACAAGGCCCCAGUCAGGUGAAAGGCUUUCUGCACAGUGCGUUCACAUCCUAUCAUACACAGAUGAGGAGCCCUCUUUCCCUGCCCACACACAUGCAGAGAUGCUGCUGCUGCCUCCCACAGACAUGUCCAUUUCCUCAUCUGAUAAGGUCAGGCCUCUUGCCACCCUCCUAGAUCUGACUCAAGCUCCUGGAAGGGAAAGUGGUGCUUAUGUGCCGAGAUUUUGUGUCUCUAACGCUGGUGGAUCCAUCCACGCACUCUACCUAGAGGGAGCUCCGGGCACUCAGCCCAAUUCAUGUUCGUGGAGGUUUUAACAUGUUUCCGCAAAUGCUUGAUCUUUCUCCUUUCAAGAUAUGGAGCUUAUCUCCUCUCUUGGUCUAGUGUGGGCUAGACUUAGUGACUUGCUCCUAACAAACAGAGUAUGGCAGAAGUGAUGGCAUGUCAUCUGUGGGAUUGGAUUAAAAGAGACUGUGGAUGCUCUUUCUCCUUUGGGUCCCUGAUCUGGAGGAAGCCAGCUCCCACGUCUUACGAACACUCAGGGAGCCUUGUAUAGAGGCCCACGUGCUGAAGAUCCAAGGUGACCAUCCACAGCAAGAGAGAAACCAACAGCCAACAGCCCUGUGACUAAAUCCUCUUGCAAGUUUUUCUCCCAUCCCAGUCAAGCCUGCAGAUAAUGCAGCUCCAGCCAACAGCUUGACUGCAGCCUCGUAAGGGACCCGGAGCCAGAGCUACCUAGCUCAACUGCUUCCAGAUCCCUGACCCUCAAAAACUGUGAGAUGAUAAAUGUCUGCUGUUUUAAGGCAUUAGGUUUUUGGGUAAUUUGUUACAUAGCAAUGGAUAAUAUAACGCUCAGAAUCCCGGGUCCACUCCCUUUGUUCCUCACUGACUUUAACUUUUGCUUUAACAUAUGAUUAAUGAGUUCGUCUCCUAUUUCUGUUCCUUAACUGCUAUUGCUUACUGCUCUUAUUUAGAGCUCAGCUUCCUCAUCCAGUUCAACAACAAUAGCUACCACAUAGUGAGCAUUUAUCCCAUUCUACGCAUAGCGCACACAUAUAUCAUCUUGCCAAUCAUUCUACCACAAGAUGAAGUCACCAUCUGAUUAUCCCCAUAUGGUCAGUAAACUGAGGCUCAGAGAGGUUAAAAAAACUGCCCCCCAUUAAUACUUAACUUUGACGGGUCAUACUGCAAGCCAUAUGCUCUAAACCACUUUGUCCUUCUACCUGUAGCUUUGAUCCUGGUUCCUUCCACUUCCUUGUAGGUUUUGGAGUAGGACAGACUGGGGUUCAAUCCUGGCUCCACAACUGACCAGGUGCUCACUGUUCCCUCCUCUCCAAAAGAGGGGAAACAAAACCCACCUCAAAGGUUCCACGAGGGGUAGAGGCAAGAACGUGUUGAGAGUGUCUGCCGUUCCCUAGACCAGUGCUGUCCAGUUGAACUCUCCGUGAUGAUGGAAAGGUGUCCUGUCUAUCCAGUAGGGUAGCCACUAGCCACAUGUGGCUAUUGAGCACCAGAAUGUGGCUAGUACAAAUGAGGAGCUGCAUUUUUGACCGCAUCUAAUUUAAAUCAACUUCAUUUCAGUAGCCGCCAUCCUGGACAGCACGGCACUAGACCGGAAGCUCCAGGCAGACAGGGCUCGUGCCUGUGUGGCUCACCGUGGCAUAUUCCCCACUUAGGACAGCGCCCGACACAAAAGAGACGCCUGUCGUUAAUUGCUGACUGAGUGAAUGCGUGAACGAAUGAGGGGCCCAUUGCAGGCAUUCCAGGAAGAGCAUCCAUCAGCCGGGCAGAGCCUUGAUGUUUCGUAGACCCCUCCUGCCUGUGCACGUCUCGCCUUUUCUCCCCUCAUCAACAGCAGCCAAUUAUGCUUUCCUGCAGAAAUGUCAUUUGAGUCAGGAAUUGGACAGAGACUAGAUUUCAGGCGACUGGGGGACAGAGGAAGAGACGCCCCCUACAUCUCUAAUGGGCCACAGAGGACAGGAAGCCCCCUUCUCAUCCCUCCAGGGCUGACUAGGAAGUUCGUCUGUAACAGAGAUGGUUAAGUUAAUGAUGAGGCAUGGUGACAGGAGGCCAGAGAAGCUCCCUAAAUGUCACCUUCGUUAUUUUUCAAGUCAACACAACGAGCUCCCUCCCAGUCAGCUUGCGCGUUGUUAGUGUUCUGCCUCGGGGUGGAGGGAAUUUCCCCUAAUCCCUACAACACGAGCGGCGUGAGCUCAGCGAGGGCAGGAGACAAGAUGGCACAGGCCACUUAAUAAGGGGCUGCUGUCACUGAGCAGGAGCUGCUGUGCAGACAUGAGGAGGUGGCAGGGCUAGGGUGGCCUGCUGGGGCUCGCCUCUUGGCUACCUCCCUGUAAUACGGCAGCUGUCUUUCCAGCCUCGGGAGUGAGGGAGCACCGUCUGACACUCUG